rnacentral:rRNA from 1 species
GACGAACGCUGGCGGCGUGCUUAACACAUGCAAGUCGAACGGUAAGGCCCUUCGGGGUACACGAGUGGCGAACGGGUGAGUAACACGUGGGUGAUCUGCCCUGCACUUCGGGAUAAGCCUGGGAAACUGGGUCUAAUACCGGAUAGGACUCCUGCCUGCAUGGGUGGGGGUGGAAAGCUUUUGCGGUGUGGGAUGGGCCCGCGGCCUAUCAGCUUGUUGGGGGGGUGAGGGCCUCCCAAGGCGACGACGGGUAGCCGGCCUGAGAGGGUGACCGCCAACACUGGGACUGAGAUACGGCCCGGACUCCUACGGGAGGCAGCAGUGGGGAAUAUUGCACAAUGGGCGCAAGCCUGAUGCAGCGACGCCGCGUGAGGGAUGACGGCCUUCGGGUUGUAAACCUCUUUCAGCACAGACGAAGCGCAAGUGACGGUAUGUGCAGAAGAAGGACCGGCCAACUACGUGCCAGCAGCCGCGGUAA